UCAAACGUGUUUCAAAUGGCCAAGAAUCCCAAACUACAAUAUGGCACGGUUUAAAAGUAUCAAUGUAGAAUUACAUUAGCUGAACAAAUUUUGGAUUUUUACAAACAUAAUUGUAUCAAUUGCCAUUAACAGAAACACAUCAUGACGACGGUUACAAGCAAUCUUAGUUUCCAAAUAAAUGUUACAGCCAAGCCAAAAGGAAAGAAAUAAGAUUCUAAAGCUAAAAUAAUCCAUCCACUGUCCACAUCAGUUUCUCAGGCCAUUCUUUGCUUUAGUUUCCACAAGACAGUAUAAGAUUCUCUCCCGUGUCAUUCGGUGACAUAUANN
rnacentral:lncRNA from 1 species